GACGAACGCUGGCGGCGUGCUUAACACAUGCAAGUCGAACGGUGAAGCGCCUUCCUUUUUGGUGGGUGUGGAUGAGUGGCGAACGGGUGAGUAACACGUAAGUACCCUGCCCCCUUCUUCUGGAUAACCGCAUGAAAGUGUGGCUAAUACGGGAUAUUCUGGGUCUGUCGCAUGAUGGGUCUUGGAAAGAUAUUGUUUCGGUGGGGGAUGGGUGCGCGGCUUAUUAGCUUGUUGGUGUGGCAAUGGCCUACCAAGGAGGUGACGGGUAGCCGGGCUGAGAGGGUGGACGGCCGCGCGGGGGCAGGGACACGGUGGAGACGCGUACGGGAGCCAGCAGUGGGGAAUAUUGGACGAUGGGCGCAAGCCUGAUGCAGCGACGCCGCGUGAGGGAUGGAGGCCUUCGGGUUGUGAACCUCUUUCGUCAGUGAAGCAGGCCUGCCUCGUUUGUGCGUGGUUUGACGGUAGCUGGAGAAGAAGCGCCGGCUAACUACGUG
rnacentral:rRNA from 1 species